rnacentral:rRNA from 1 species
UACGUAGGGUGCGAGCGUUUGUCCGGAAUUAUUGGGCGUAAAGAGCUUGUAGGCGGUUUUGUCGCGUCUGCUGUGAAAAUCCGGGGCUCAACCCCGGACUUGCAGUGGGUACGGGCAGACUAGAGUGUGGUAGGGGAGACUGGAAUUCCUGGUGUAGCGGUGAAAUGCGCAGAUAUCAGGAGGAACACCGAUGGCGAAGGCAGGUCUCUGGGCCACUACUGACGCUGAGAAGCGAAAGCAUGGGGAGCGAACAGG